AUGGGCUCCAGCAGAGUUGGUAGAGUUUCAGUUGUUCUUCUACUGCUCAUCGUCGUUUUGGUUUGCGCCGCAGGAGGCAGGGGUCUGGCCGAAGAAAAGAUUCAGAAGGACCAUCGCAACGCUGCACACAAGGAGGGAACGACAGCUCUAGGCAGUCAUCCAAGGAACCUCAUGGUGAAGACGAAUGACUACGGCCGCUACGACCCGACUCCAGCGUUCUCCAGGCCUCGCUUCAAGCCUAUACCUCACUGA
rnacentral:rRNA from 1 species